rnacentral:misc_RNA from 1 species
GAUGAAGAACGUAGCGAAAUGCGAUACGUAGUGUGAAUUGCAGAAUUCCGUGAAUCAUCGAAUCUUUGAACGCACAUUGCGCCCCUUGGUAUUCCGAGGGGCAUGCCUGUUCGAGCGUCAUUAUAACCCCUCAAGCUCAGCUUGGUGUUGGGGCCUGCUGCACUGGCAGCCCUUAAAAUCAGUGGCGGCGCCAUCUGGCUCUAAGCGUAGUAAUUCUUCUCGCUAUGGAGUCCUGGUGGAUGCUUGCCAUCAACCCCCAAUUUUUCUAUGGUUGACCUCGGAUCAGGUAGGGAUACCCGCUGAACUUAAGCAUAUCAAUAAGCGGAGGA